rnacentral:tRNA from 1 species
GCUCCCGUGGUGAAAUGGAUAUCAUUUUUGCCUUCGAAGCAAACGUUGGGGGUUCGAGUCCCUCCGGGAGCA